AAAAAUCUCUGCUAGUUCAUCAAGGAAAACUUCCGUACGUAGCAGACAAGGUUGAGGAGAGCCAGAUGGCCCAACAACAAUUUCGAGUACCCGAAUUAGCACAGCAACAUUUCGAACGCGCAUCGCCUAAACUUAUUGAAUUAGAAGAUAAAGAGCUCGAAAGACGCAGUAGUGAUAUCGAACAAACGUUAAUUAGGCCCGUAGACGAACAGUGCGACAUGUUUCAUGUAUCAGAAGAAAACUAUGCAAAUUAUGAAAAGAAUGAUAGGAAUGCGUCAAAUCAUAGGGACGUAGACUUAGAUCAAAUGACAUUGCGUGACGCUGAAUAUAACUACGCGAGCAAAGAAAAGAAUGUUAGGAAUAUGACGAGAGAUUUAUCACCCAGGAGGCAAAUAUCAGGCGAACAAUUGUUUGUAGACAAACAGUCAGAAUUACCAAGUAGAAGAAAGACAGAACCAAACAGCCAGCUAGAAAGGAUUCGUAUUCCAAAAUUUGAAGGAGAUAAAUUAGAAUUUCAACAGUGGUAUACAGCAUUUAUCAGUUGCGUAGACGAGACAGCGAUGACAGCCCAAUUCAAGAUGCUGAG